rnacentral:rRNA from 1 species
UACGGAGGGUGCAAGCGUUAUCCGGAUUUACUGGGUUUAAAGGGUGCGUAGGUGGGUCUGUAAGUCAGUGGUGAAAUCUCCGAGCUUAACUCGGAAACUGCCAUUGAUACUAUAGGUCUUGAAUUAUCUAGAGGUAAGCGGAAUAUGUCAUGUAGCGGUGAAAUGCUUAGAUAUGACAUAGAACACCAAUUGCGAAGGCAGCUUACUACGGAUCGAUUGACACUGAGGCACGAAAGCGUGGGGAUCAAACAGG